GAUGAACGCUGGCGGCGUGCCUAAUACAUGCAAGUCGAGCGAACGGACGAGAAGCUUGCUUCUCUGAUGUUAGCGGCGGACGGGUGAGUAACACGUGGAUAACCUACCUAUAAGACUGGGAUAACUUCGGGAAACCGGAGCUAAUACCGGAUAAUAUUUUGAACCGCAUGGUUCAAAAGUGAAAGACGGUCUUGCUGUCACUUAUAGAUGGAUCCGCGCUGCAUUAGCUAGUUGGUAAGGUAACGGCUUACCAAGGCAACGAUGCAUAGCCGACGUGAGAGGGUGAUCGGCCACACUGGAGCUGGGCCGCGGUCCAGACUCCUACGGGAGGCAGCAGUAUGGAAUCUUCCGCAAUGGGCGAAAACCUGACGGAGUAACGCCGCGUGAGUGAUGAAGGUCCUCGGAUCGUAAAACUCUGUUAUUAGGGAAGAACAUAUGUGUAAGUAACUGUGCACAUCUUGACGGUACCUAAUCAGAAAGCCCCGGCUAACUACGUG
rnacentral:rRNA from 1 species